rnacentral:lncRNA from 1 species
AUGGUAGUGGUCAGACGACGUGAGAGAGUGAGAGAGAGUUACUUGAGAAUUGAGAGCAGAAGAUCGAGGGUAAUAUGACGAAUCAAAUGCCCUAUAAGGAUUUGGGGAAGAAGGCGCCGUCAACAAUCAUGCUCUGUAUUGCAUUCACCAGGGCCGGUCCAUUGGUUUUCUAUGCCCCGGGCGAGAUGAAAAUCAUAAUGCCCCCAUGCUUGUACCAUACAAUACACCAAAUACAUACAUAGCUAACAUGUAUAAAACAGAAGUUCAAUAUAUAUUUGUAUUCAAAUAUUUGUAAAAAUACAACCAAAAACAAUAUGUACACGCAAUCGUUAAAAUAGACAACAAAAAAGCAACUAAAACUAAAAAACUCGUAGUAGAGGUCAAUCAAAAUUUGUUUAGAAAAAGACAAUGAACUUUAUGGGGCUAACAUCUAAAGACAUGUACUUUGCACCAAAUGUGCAACAACAACAGAAUUUUGAAGCUACUGCAACACUUACGAGACCAUAAACAAAGGCUAUAAAAACAUCCAAAUCAUACUUAACUUCAAACUUUCAUUGAAGCGAUCAAAAAACAUACCAGCUUGGGCAAAAAAAUAAACCCCAUAUCAUAUUUGAGAGAUAUCAAGGCCAUUUAGAAUCUACCAUGAGCAUAUCAAACAACCCCUAACUAUUCCUCUUAAAAAGCAAAUAAUAAUCAAAAUAAUAAAUAAUAAAAAUAAAACAGCUUUUAGGAGAACAUUUUUUUAAAGUACAAAGCUAAAUUAAAUAACAAAAAAGCCAAUUGUGGCUGGAAAAUAAUAUGGGUAAAAUUAAAGUAAUAACUACUACAAGUUACAUCACCAAAAAUUAUUAAAUUAAUAAUGAAAAUAGCAACAUUCAGCUUUUGAAAAUAAGCUAGCCACAUCAAUGUACUUUCGAGAUUGAUCCAGCCAUACCAUUGCACUUUCCUGUACUACCAAACAAUAACAAUGCACUUUUAAUUACUAGCUAGCAAUAGCAUUGCACUUUCCUGAAGCAAACCACAAAAAUCAUAUACAAAGCUAAAAAUUUCGAGCCAAAGAGAGGAGGAAUAAUAGCUCAAACAGAGGUGAAAUCAGAUACCAAAAUCCAAAUAGGUCUUUAAAAGACUUUGAUUUUUUUUGUAAUAAAAAAGAGAAGAAAUCAAGCAGAUUUUUGAAACAAACCUAAAUAAGUAGAUUUCGAACUCAAAGAGAGAAGAAAUCGAGUCUAGUAAAACAUGAACAACCACAAAAAACAAUCUGAUUUCCGAAACAAAUAACAAAAACCCUAAACAUAAAUCACAUCAGAAAUUAGAAUGAGAAGUCGGAAUAAGAGAAAUUCAACCCACCCAAAUUAGAAUCGUUGUAUCAGAAUCACAAUAUCUCGGACCUAGAAGGCUUGAACCGAGAUCUUUUAACCAGAUUAGAAAUAUCAGAAAUCACAAACUAGAACUUGAAAACUAUAGAAAUUGGAGUAUUUAGAAACCAAAUAUCAGAGAAAUUGACUGAAAGCGAAAAAUACAGAUGCCACAUCUUACUUUUAUUUAUCAGAGACGCAACUUCUAGGCAUCCAAUCGACAACAUAUUUCCAAGUGUCGGAAGACGUUUCGAUUUUCUAUGGGAAAUUGAAGACGAUUAGUGGUUGUUUGGCGCUAAGUUUUCAUUUCCC